UAUCAUUUCCACUGGCAAACACUGGAGUACCGUUAGGACCACUUGCAGCUGCCCCUCCGUCGAUUCCUAGCCCGAGGGUUUUUCUGGAAGUGGCGAUCAAGCGCAACCUAAUCAUUCCCUCCCAGCCUCCGUCCCUCUCUGUACCCUCGCGUUACCUUCUAACAUUGGGUACACGCUCAAAAAAAGAACUGAGGCUGGAAAGACGCAGUCCAUGGCAGAGUUUCCCCUAAGAGAUGAAGAGUCCCUCGGCCUUACCGGCGCCGUCUGUGCCCCGCUAGCUCCACCCCAAAGCCCAAGGUCUCCCGCCAGCCGCUCAAGGCUGAGAGCGCACGUCUCCCUCCCGGGCAGGACGACGGAUCCUAAACGGAGCAUAGCCUCCCGUUGGAGCAGAGCAGGCGUCACGCCAAGAGUCUGCCUGGGAUCCAGAAGGCCCCUCACCUGUGACAUGUCACCAGUGCCACUUCCACAGUUCUUCUGAGUCACCUAAGUCACUGGCUCAGAGUCUUAACUCACCUCCAGAGUGCAAGCGCUGCGGAGGCAGGGACCAUGUCUGUCUCAUUCACCCUUCACAAGGCGCAUAGCAGAACCACCUGUUUUGGGCCUGACUUCCCAACUCCAGAAUUACAAUGGCUUCACACUAUGUUAGGGACUGAAGUGUCCACUGCUAAACACUUGAAGUGUGGUAAUAAAACUAAACCAGUUUCACAACAGUAAGUACAUACAUUCUGGCUAGACCAAGCUAUUAAAAUUUUGCUUGAAAUUCAUAUAACAGCUACAUAGGUCUGGUUGUCUGUUAGAGGAUUUUAUUGCAAAUUACUAAAUAGCGGGUAAUGAGUAAUUUUACCACAGGCUUUUACUAUUACAUUGCAGAAUCUCACAGUGGCAUGAAAUGACUAUGGCAGUCUAAAAAAAAGAGUUAUAUUUAAAUAGUCCAGGUUAUUUGUGAAAUCCUAUAAAACUAACCCUCAAUUCUCUUUUAUUUUACUCUUUAAAAGGUUUCAAGAAAUUAUCACCUAGCAUAUUUUGGUGAGAUAACAUAAGAGAUAUAAAAUCAGAGAACAGUAACUGUUUGCCAGCCUCAUACAUAUGCUAUAAAAAUCCUAAUGAUUUCAUCAGACAUCACUUGUUUAUUACCAAAUUCCUAAGGGGUCUUCUUAUGAUAUGAAAGUAAGAAAGAAAAAGAGGGAGGAAGAGAUCUUUUGAUCUUUCAGUAGUAUUUCCUAACUUCUCUGAUAUGUGGAUGAUUUUAACGUUAUUUUGUAUUUUCAAAUUUCCCAUGAUCCUGAUCUGAAAUGGACUGAAGCCAGAUUGAAAUUUGGGGGAAGACUACUAACAGGGGAACUAACCAUUAAACCACUACAACCACCAGGUGGUAGAGUUGAUAACCUGAAGGCUGCCAUCAUCCGCAUGUCAAUCACCGUGGUGCGGGGAGCCCCUCAGGCGAGGAAGCAGUGCCGAGUGGUAGGAUGGAUGGCGGAUUUAGGAAUGUAGCCUUCGAUUUAACUUGGAUCAGGAAGAAGGGGAGUUGUCUGCUUUGCUGCCCUGCGUCAAAGAAUAAUGUGGCACCUGCUCUGGAGUGGAAGGAGAGCAGAGGCUGGAGUGGUGGCAGCGCCGCUGAGGACAGAGACUGAGACAGCUGCGGGGUCAGAGGGGCCCAGAGGCGGAGACCGGCCUGCUGCAUGCAGACUCGCUCUGAGUGGACGGGAUUCUAGUGACUGACCUGCCACCAUGGGAAUAAAGUUGGGUAUAAACCCUUUCACCUCAAAAAGGUUCUCUUUUCAUUUUUUGGUCUUACUGGAUCAAGAGUGAAUUUGCCCAGGGCUGACACCCAUUGGCAAGACACACUUAAAGACUGGGUUUGAACAGUGGGUGAGGAAGGGCCUUUCCUUUCACCUCUGAACCUGAAAGAAGACUCUCCUCGGCUGGGGAGGGGAUGGGGGGAACUAAGGCAGGUUGGUGGCCACAUGGGCAUGAACACGGAAGUGUAGGUCCCAGAGCAGAGGACACUGGGCCCUGCUUCCCAGGAGAGUCUGAGAGGUGGAAGGCUCCAGGGAGGGGAGGGUCGUGUGGGGUGUGCUAGGCUGAAUAAUGCUGCCCCCUAAACACCCACUUCUAGUCCCAGAAGCUGUGCAUGACAAAAAGGGGACACUAUAGAUGGGAUUAAGCUAGGGAUCUUGAGAUGGGAAAGUAGCCUGGAGUGCCCAGGUGGGUGCCAUCACCCACAGGACUCCCACAGGUGGGAGGCAGGUGAGCAGAAUCAGUGAAGAUGUGAUGAUCUGACAAGUGCUGGCUUUGGACAUGGAGGGAAUAUCUGCGAGUUGAAAAAAGCAGAAGGUAGAAAAGCAAGUAAGUGGAUUGGUUCUCCACUAGAGCUUCCAGGAGGGACCAGCUGUGCUGACCCCUUGGUUUUACUUCGUAAGACCCACUUGGGAGUCCGACCUCCAGAACUCUUAGGAGAAUGUAUUUGUGUUGUUUGGAGUCUCUGAGUUUGUAAUGAUUUGUUACA